CCUACGGGAGGCUGCAGUGAGGAAUAUUGGUCAAUGGGCGCAAGCCUGAACCAGCCAAGUCGCGUGAGGGAUGACGGUCCUAUGGAUUGUAAACCUCUUUUGUCGGGGAGCAAGGCACGCCACGUGUGGCGGGAAGGAGAGUACCCGAAGAAAAAGCCUCGGCUAACUCCGGGCCAGCAGCGGCGGUAAUACGGAGGAUGCGAGCGUUAUCCGGAUUUAUUGGGUUUAAAGGGUGCGUAGGCGGAAGGUUAAGUCAGCGGUAAAAUGUCGGUGCUCAACACCGGCCUGCCGUUGAAACUGGUCUUCUUGAGUGAGCGAGAAGUAUGCGGAAUGCGUGGUGUAGCGGUGAAAUGCAUAGAUAUCACGCAGAACGCCGAUUGCGAAGGCAGCAUACCGGCGCUCAACUGACGCGGAGGCACGAAAGCGUGGGGAUCGAACAGGAUUAGAUACCCGAGUAGUC
rnacentral:rRNA from 1 species